rnacentral:rRNA from 1 species
UACGGAGGGUGCGAGCGUUGUCCGGAAUCACUGGGCGUAAAGGGCGCGUAGGCGGCGCGGGCAGUCAACGGUGAAAGCUUGGGGCUCAACCCCGAGUCGGCCGUCGAUACUCCCGGGCUGGAGCACUGUAGAGGCAGGUGGAAUUCCGGGUGUAGCGGUGGAAUGCGUAGAGAUCCGGAAGGACACCGGUGGCGAAGGCGGCCUGCUGGGCAGUAGCUGACGCUGAGGCGCGACAGCGUGGGGAGCAAACAGG